rnacentral:lncRNA from 1 species
CUGUACCCGCCUAGGAAGCAGAUCUAGGCGGGGAUAGCGAUGUCGGGUUGUGACUCAGUCGUGUUGCUUUGUUCUAGAUCAGGGUAUCUGUUUUACAACUGAUCUCGAUCUAGUUGUUUUCUUUGUUUUGCUAAUCCUUCCUCUGAUCGAUUUUGCCUUAUUGCUUUGUUCUCGAUCGGAAGAACUCGCUACCAGUAAAGCACCUUUGUGGCCCACCCAAGAAGCAGAUCUAGGCGGGGAUGGCGAUGGCGUGCUGAGGGUUGAAUCCAGCUCCCAGUUAGUUUCCCAUCUCCUCUAUUUUACUACUCAAGUCUCUAGACUAGAUCUCAACCUAGUUGUUCUCUCUUUUUUUGGCUACUCCUUCCUCUAAUCUGACUCAGUCUUGGUGCUUUGUUCUAGAUCAAGGUAUCGGCUAUUCUUCCUCUAAUCGACUCGGGUCUUAUUGCUUUGAUCUAGAUCAAGGUAUCUAUUUUACUACUCUAGAUCUCGAUCUAGCUGUUACCUUUUAUUUGCUACUCCUUCCUCUAAUCGACUCGGUCUUGUUGCUUUGUUCUAGAUCAAGGUAUCGGCUAUUACUCCUCUAAUUGACUCGGUCUUAUUGCUAUGUUCUAGAUAAAGGUAUCUGUUUACUACUCUAGAUCUCGAUCUAGUUGUUCUCUUUGAUUUGCUAAUCCUUUCUCUAAUUGAUUUGGUCUUAUUGCUUUAUCCAGAUCAGAAGAACUCGCUACCGGUAAAGCACCUUUGUGGCCCACCCAAGAAUCAGAUCUAGGAUGGCGUGCUGUGAUGGCUGAAUCCACCUCCCGGUUAGUUUCCCAUCUCCUUUCUCUGUUUUACUAUAGAUCUGAUCUAGCUAUUCUCUGCUACUCCCUCCGUAAAUAAAUAUAAGAGCAUUUAGAUCACUACUUUAGUGAUCUAAACACUCUUAUAAUUCUUUACAGAGGGAGUACUAUUCUACUCGUCACCUCCUCCUGCUGCUACCUAGGAUAGAAGAGGAAGAAUAACCAAUACCUUGAUCUAGAACAAAGCAACAAGAUCGAGUCGAUUAGAGGAAUGUUUAGGAAGGAGUAGCAAAAUAAAGAGAACAGCUAGAUGAAGAUCUAGAAUAGUAAACUAGGUACCAAUAAGACCGCGUUGAUUAGACGAAGAAUAACAAAUACCUUGAUCUAGGAGAAAGAAACAAGACCGAGUUGAUUGGAGGAGGGUAGAGGCAGUUCCUCAGUCUGCUCUGCCUCCGUCACCAUCAUGGGGAGGAUGAUCAAUUGGGUGUGCUUAUCAGGACUUCAGGCAGAUAACAAGGAGCAAUCAAGAAAGAGUGGGUGUGUCUGGUGUUCCUAAGGUGCUAAGUGCCAUUGUCCCAAGCUCUUCUGAGCUUGGCAUACAACAACCAGAGCUCGUGAUUAGAACUUUUGCUUUUAACUCUUGUAAAGUUCAAAUCUUAGAUUCCAAAGUUGAUUUUCAAGGAAGGUGGAACUUUUGGAUUUGAAGUCUUGGCACAUUUUGUAGGUGAGCUGGAAUUGGUCCUACUAGCCAGAUGGCAACUAAGGCUUCCGAUAAAGAACGUGCUCCUCCUUGCUAGAUCCCCCACCUUUGUCAUGUCUGUCCUUCUCCACCACCAGAUCCAUCGAGGUCCGGGCAACAUUAAGCACCUCCUCCUUGGAUCAGAUAAUUCAAGUCAUCGUCAUCACUCGCUCUGGUAGCGAAAGAGUUGGGAGUGGCAGGCGCCAUGGAUGGAGGCUCUGGUGCUAUUGGCCUAGACAGGUAUGCCAUUUCCACUCUUUUUUCUUGCUUGCAUCCUCUUCCUUUCUUCAUUGUGUGAGGUUAUCACCAGACUAGCACCUAAACAGUAGAUGGAAGUAUAUUUCCUACACGAACAGCCUCGAGAUUACGUGAUAAGUUCUGAUGGCAUGAAAAAAGCUGUUUUUAAGGCAAAUACGGUUGCUAAUAAUAAGUCAACAACCAGCCCCAAGAUAAACUUGGCUACAAUGUUGGAUCAUCAUACCUACAAUGCAGCAAUACAUUUCAGUUUCAUUUACGCGUGAGACUAUUCUAUAAUAGUAAAACCCUACACGUGACUGUGCCACACGAGGGGGCGCGCGGGGGGGGGAGGAGUUGUUCCCUUACACUGAUACAGAUGAACCGGCUGGAGCACCACACAGUCCUGCCAGGAAUAUCCCAAUGCCCUGCACGUAGACACUUUAAUAGCAGCCCAGAAGAAUCCGCACAAGAGUCAAAGAAAGUAUGGCACAAUCAAUCAUCACAUCACAUAGGAAGUAUUUGAAACUAUUUGUGCUCUAGCAUAUACAUCCAGUUAAAGCAUUUGUAAGGAGAAGGAAAGCAUUCAAAUUCUAGUAUUCAUGGAUAACCAUAUUUCACUAGCCCUUAUAAGACAACUUCUGAAAUGACAGUCACCUGUAAACCAAUACUUCGAGUAAGAACAUGAGCUGGGGGUGGUGUUGCACCGGCUAGACGUGCAGUUGCAAAGUGUGCACCGGUUGACUACACAAGAUAGCACAAUUAGGUUCCAGCAGAAAGAAUGCACGAAAGAAGAUAGAACAAAGGGAAAUCCAAUUAGUCUUAACCUCAAAAGAUGAAACAAGCACAGCACCCAUCAUUCCAAAUGAAUGACCUGCAGUGAAGAUUGGUGGACCCCAAUGGAAGGGGUAUGAAAUUUUGAUCCUGAAAGUGCAGGCAUGCAAAGAGUGGAUUAAAAAUGGCUGCUUCAAACAUUUGCGAUUCGUAAAGUUAGUUCAUAAGAAAUAUCCUCAAGAACCAUACCAUGGUGCAGAUGAUAUAAGGAAAGACUUGUCAGUGCGGCAGUGCUGUUGUGUCUUGAGCGAAACAUGGUUGUAUGCACCAGCAGCAGUAAGGAUAGCUGCAAAGGCCCACACGAUGCCGAUACAAAGAAGCAACGAAUACCUCUCAAACAAGAAGGUUGUGCGCUCAUGGAUAUGUCUGAAGUAAAGUGGCGCAUACUGCAUAGAGCAAAUUGAACAGUUGGUUCCUAGCCAGCUUCACAAAUCAUAGCAUAACUAAAAUGGAAAUUAAUCGAUAUUUCGAUCAGAAAAUACAAAAAGGAGAUUUAAGUUGUUACCUGUUGCACAACAAUCGCAAGAAUUAGCAUUGGCAACCCAAUCUCAACACAUUUUCCAACCUACCAUGGAGAAUAAACAUUAUAUGUUUCCAUUCUUUCUUUCUCAAUGUUAAGUCCUCUGCUAAAAUAUAGAAAUCAUACCUGAGGAAAGCCAAUUUGAAAUAGUCCAAGACCAACGACACAAACAACAGGAGUCAUUAUUACAGGACUGAAUUUCCUGCGAAAUAAAAUUACAUGAAUAUUAAUAGCUUCAAAAGAAAAUAAUACUAUAUUAAGUCUAAGAACUAGUACUACAGGAUGCAUACUUGGCAAAUGCCCCCCAUGCUCUGCUGUAUCCAAGAAUCAUGUUGAGGAUUGAAGCAACAAUUAGAGCCCCUUGAGUUGCUCUCAUUGUGUGAACGAAUCUCUGCAGAUGCCUCAAUAGUUAGAAGUGUAAAUAUUACCAUGUGAAAGAUAAUUUAUCAAUGAAUCCUCGAAAGAACUAUCAUUCCAAAUAACAUUUGCCAAAACGCAACAAGGAGCAUGGUUAAACAUUACAGAUAAAAGAGUGUUAUGACUGAGCAAAUUAGCACCACUCUACCUCAUGAUUACUUUCAAAGUCGUUUGUGUUAAACUGUCUGGCUAUUGACAGCACUGGGACAACAAAUGCGAAGGAGGCAUUCAUAACUGUUGGAAGCCGUGUCCCAACGAGUGUUUGGAGCAGAGUAUUAAUGCCACUCACAAACAGGAAUGCUUGAAUAACACGAGCCUUCUCACCCUAUCAAUAAGAACAACAAAAGCAGCAGGGAAUCAACACUAAAUCUUCAAAAGGAAAUUACAUUGAUGCAGAACAAAAUGCUAUGAAUAGCAAAGCAAAUUGAUAUACUCACAGGACCACCACCCAUUGCAGGAACAAUAAUUGACACAAGCAUGACAGUAGAGCCCAACAUCACUAGGUAGUGGAGGAAUGCAAGCCCUGCUACCUGAACUGUAGAUGAUGGUACAAUAGAACAGGGUAAGUGCAAGUUUUACAUAUAUCCUAAUCAUAUCCAAACAAGGAAACCAAUUCCAGGCUUCCAGCAGUACUGUUCAUACCUAAAUAUAUGCAAAGGAGAAGUAUAAAAGACUACAGGAGAUAUGCAGACAAAGACUUUUCUUAAAGAUUAGGCAUCAAUAGACUUUUCUUUUCUAUACUUCAAAGUGGCAGAUCACAACAAUUCCUCUUUUUGUUCCAUGAAAAAAACAUUGCCUCUUAUAGCAGCACCUGAUAGAAGUGUUGCUAGCUGUCUAAAUGAACAUCCCAGAUUCAGAUCAAGAAUAGUAGGUACAGCCCUUUACAGAUCAACAAAGUAUGCAAUAACAAAGGCUAUAAUUCUACAUGAACAGGAGAUUCAAGAAAAUCAAUACAUCAGUGAAGUCGAUUAUAUGUGGGGACUUUACAAAACAGAGCAUUAUUGAACGCAACCAAACCGAAAUCUGAGAUAGGCCUUGAACAAAAGAAUGACCAAGAACCAUCUGCAAACCAAAAUUAAAGAUGCCUAAAUCUGUAGAUAGUAGUACUAGAGAUCAGACUGCUACUUCGUCCUGUAUGCACACAAUCGAACUGUACAUGCGGAAGCAAAAGAAAGUAAAAGCGGGCAGAGGAGUUAAGAGGGGAGCCAGGAUUGGAUUUCCGUACCCCAGGAAGGAUUGGAGUGGACGCAGUAGUUGAGUUGGUUGAACUGCUCGUAGGGCUGGUGCAUGGCGCCGGCGCCAACCGGAGCGUUCAUCAUGGGCUGCAUCCCCAUGGGCGGUGGCACGCCCACCGGCGGCGGCACCCCGGGCUGGUGGUUCAUCUCGCCCAUUGGAUCAACACCAACUCAAGCAAGAACACUCUCUCGCCUUGGACCAGACCAGAAACUGCUGCACAGGAAGGAGAAAACAAUCAGGAGACGCUCUUGGGUCUUCACACCUUUGUCCCCCUUUUAUGCGCGCAGUCGGGGGGCUUCGCAUUGAUUGCACAAAAUUUUUAGCAGUGCAUAAAACGAAAUUUGGGGCAUUUAAUCAGUAGAGUAAACCAGCGCCAAGAAAUGGCUGGUGGGAGUAACUACACUCCAAAGAUUGCAGCUCUCGCCUCUCACAAGGGGAUGAAAAAACGGCCACUUUGCCAGCAGAGAAGAGAACACAGACACUCCAGCCUUGCUGCUGCUGCUUGUAUCUUACCCUAGCUCACAAGAAUUGACCACGACUCCUUGGCCAUGGGCGACUCACUCACAAGCAAAGAUGCAAAUCUUGAGAGGGAAAAAAGACCAAGACCUGUGUAGUAGUACUAGUAUUAUCCUACGGUUGGGAGGAAAGUGACAGGCAGAGAGAAAGAGAAACAUCAACAAGAUAUGGCCGAUGAGAGCCUCACUUGGGUGAUUCCUGCAAGUUUGUCCCAAGAAGAAUCUCCAAAGAAAACGCAGCGAAAAGGUUGCGAGAAUUAGAAAAGGCAAAAAAGGCCUCACAUCAGCACAUUAAAAUAAGGGGCAGAAGCGAAUCAAACCAAAUUAAUACUCUGCACACGAAAAGCAGCAGGGGGGGAAGAAAGAACUCACUCACCGAAUUCAGAGGCUGGAUUCUCUCCCAACCCACCUCCCGGAAAGAAAGUAAGAAAGCGCCGGAAAAUCUCCCCGGGGAGCGCAGAGAAAGGCCAAAAAUUAUGAGCUCCAAAAGCCUCCAGCCUUUAUUAUUUCUUUUCCGUUUCUUCUCCUCCUUAUCUCCUUUCUAUGGCCGCCCUCCCGAGAGCAGCGCCAGCGGCAGCAGCGGCAACAGGACAAACGCGGGAUUUUGUAAUCUUGCGGGCAGCAGCAGCAGAGGAAAAGGGAUCGCGAGCUCGAAGGCCUCGCCUUCACUGCUGGUCUCGCUUCGCGAGCACCCCGCUAAUCGCACUGGCGGUAAUCAGCGGAGGCGAGAGGGCGGAGAAGCUCGCUCGCGCGCCGCUAAUGGAGGAGGCCGAACAGUGGUGGCUGAUGGGGCUUGGAGCCUUUGGCUGGAUCUAGGUAGCUGGGGCGCAUUAGAAAAAUGCUUGUUUUUCGAAAGUUGUAUUGAAUGCAACAGAUUCCGAGGAUGGGGAGGGGGGUGGUGCCGCAGCAUUAAAAUUGGAUUGACGCGGGCGAGAGGUUCUUCUGCGCCGCUCGCUCGCUCGCUGCUUCCCCGAGUGGUGCUAGCGACUGUAGGUCCCAUCACAUUUGGCGGAUGGGACAGCGAUCUUCUACCAGGAUUUUUCAUCAGUCCGGAUUUCUACCGUGUUGCUGCGUUCCUGGAUAGCCCACCUGCGAAAAUCAGAUUGCGCUACAGGGCGCCUCCUCCCGGGACUCUUCGUGUAGUCCGAUCUGCCCGGACGGCGCGCACCCGAAUAGAUGACCUCAUGGGUCCAUGACAAGUGGACCGCGGGUGCCGCGCGGCCUGGGGUCACCGCAUGUGAUGGUUUCGGUUACGCGCGCAUGCGCCCUCUCAUGGGAAAAAAAAAUUAUGAUGUCAUAAACAUCAGCUUCUUAUUAGACCUUUCAUAUCCAUCUGAAAACAAAUAUACAUUGAAUUAUUACUAGGGCGUACAAUUCUACGACGAUUUUGUCAUUUUUUCAUGUACUGAAAGCAAGAGUGUCACACUCGAUGACAUUGGUAGAGAAGACCAACAAUAAGGAGCUCUUGACAAAACAGCGUCAGAAAUUUCAGGUACAGAACACGGCUUCAGAUGUUGCGCGGUUUAGUUUCACUACUCAAGGUGGGCGCAAAAAAUUUGGGACAUAAUAUAAAAUAUGUCCAUGGUCCUUAGAGUGGUGAAAUUAAACUGAGCACCAUCUGAACUCUUGUUCUCUAGCUGAAGCUUCUGAUGUUGUUUCGCCAGGAGCUCCUCGUUGUUGGUUUUGACUACUAGUGUCAUCGAGUCUAGCACUCUGAUGUUUAGUACAAAAAAAGUGACAAAAUCGGUGUUAGAUUUUAUGCCUCAAUCAUAAUCCAACGUAUAUUGUUUUCAUAUGGAUGUCAAAAUAUCUCAUAAGAUCCUGGUGUUCACGACGUCACGAAUUCUUUUUCCUGUGCUCCUUCUCAAUCUUCUACCAGGAUUUCGGUAGGAAUUUCAACGGUAUUGCUGCAUUCCUGGUACUACUACUAGAAAACAAUACAAAUAACUUGACUAGUACACUAGUUAUGGUUGGAUGAAUCUUACACAAUGUCUACCGAGCAGGAUUUUUUUUAUUUGUUGUUUUUACUAACAAGGCAUUUCUAGUUGAAAGGAAAAAAGCCAUGUUUGAAAGACAAAAAAAGUUCAUAAUCUUGUAGAUGUUGAACUGUUUCAUCUGAAAUUCCUGUAAAUAUCAAUAGCAGUUUCAUGUUCAUUUGAAAAGCCUAUACGACUAUAUGAGACACAACAAUUUUGAAGGUUUUCAAAUGCUCGAAAUACGAAAUAUUGCCAUAUUAGAAUAUGAACUAGGCCUUGCUAGCUACUCGUUGGCUUGGUGGGGCUUCCAAUUUUUUCCAAUGUUCAACAAAUCAAAUUCUUUUGUCAAAACAUUAUGCAUUAUUCAUUGCUUCAUAGAAAUCGAUAACCAAAACACUACCAUGUUGUUUUAAAUCUGUAGAAAACAGAUAACUUGACCACCAGUUAUGACAAGAUGAUGCUAGUAGAAAGCAUGGGGCCAAUUCACAUGUGUUUUUAUGCAUAAUAUGAUCCUAGAUGAGCUAGGAAAUGAUUAAAAAAUCCUAUAGUUUCCAUGCAUAAUAUGGUGUUACUUUGAAUCUUACAGGUGUUUCACAGGAAACAGUUCAAUGUCUAACGAACUGAAAGUUUUUUUUUCCUGACCAUGGCAUUUCUAGUCAAUAGGAAUACGCUAUGUGUUGGAAGACAAACUUCUUUCCAGCAUCUAGUAGAUGUUGAACUGUUUCCUCUGACAUUCCUGUAAAUUUCAUGAGUAGUUUUGUAUUCCUUUGAAAAACCUAUACGAGACUUCGUAGUUUUCAAAGGAUCAAAAUAUGAAAUGCUACCAUAUUAUGAACUAGGUCAUGCUACUUACCUAUCGGUUGUGUGGGGCUUCCAUUUUUUAAUGAUUAGUGAAUCAAAAUAUUUUAUCACAACUGUAUAAUUCAUGCAUUCUUCUUUAUCGAUGACCAAUAUAUGACACAACCAUAGUGGCAUGUGAUACUUGCUAGUCAUUAUGGGCCUCAUUUGAGACCGAGAGUCAUUCUUCAACUUCCAUUACAAAAUAUAGUCAGUCUCUAUAUAACAUUGCACAAGGGAGAAUACAGGUGAUACCUCCAGCUGGAUGCUCUCAUGCUACCAAAUCAAAAAGUUCAAACUUAAAUGAUUCAAAAAAUUCCAAGAAAGUUUGUGAAUAUUUACAACACAUGUAUCUACGAAUGCUAAAAAAUUCAGAUCCUAAUUCAAAGUACACAUAGAGAGGCAAAUUCAACAUGAAUAGUGUCAAUAAAGACAAAAACAUGAAUAGUGUAAAAACUACACUAUUCACAUCUCGAUUUAUCUUUUUGUUUCUCAAUGCGUAUAUCGAACUUGGAUCUGAAUUCUUUAGCGGUCAUAGACACAUGUGUUGUGAACAUUCAUGUUUUUUUAAAAAAAUUGAAUAAAGUUCAAAUUUUCAAAUCCGUAUCAUGGGAGCAUCAAAGUGGUGGCAUCACCUGAUAUUUCCCUCCUGCACAACUCACUCUAAAAGGACCUAAGUGGAACACUGAAGGAGUUUUAGUUUUCAGGAAUAUUCAUAUAAUAUAUGGAUGUACUAGCAAAAAAAUGUGAUGUCUUAAACUAGCAGGAUGACCCUCGCAUUUGCAUGGCUAGAAUUUUUUUUUGUUUUCUGCUACAUUUUUGUUUCCAUGUAUGCAUUAUAUUAUCUUUGAAACAUUGUCCAUUGUUGUCACAAUUUACAGAUUUUCCCAAACACAAGUUUUUUAAGAUAUAGUUUUCCUCGGCAUUGGAAAUGUUUAUAGUUCAAUAAACACCUUGGGGAAAUAUUGUUGGAAUUUGGUGGGAAAAUCAAUUUAUAUGUGUCACACUGAUGCUAAUGAUAUUCAUAUGUGAUAGUUGAACACUAAACGAAUUGUCUUUCCAUGAAUAGUUUUAAUCAAUUUGUUCAAUAAUACUUAAAGCUAAACAUCGGUGACAUGUAUUUAAUUCUUUUGCAAUCUUCAUACAUUUGUAUCAUGAUGAUGAUGAUGAUGAUCUUCCUCAUUAGCACACUCUUUUAUCACGCUUGUCACACAAGUAGAACGAUAUGUGUGCUCUGUUGUGUGAUAAAUGUGAUAAAAGGGUCUAUUGAUGAGGCAGGUGAUCACAUCAUCAUCAUCACGAGAUAGAUUUAUGAAGAGAACAUAAUAUUUAAAUACUUGCCAUCAAUGCUUGGACUUAUAUUGUUGGUACAGCAACAACCAUUCACUAGGGUUGCCUCGAGUAUCGUGAUUGGAGUUGAGUGUCUUGCGGAUAUCGCUGAACACCAAAUGUCAAUUGGGGUGUGUAUGUCGGUCUUUACUCCUACAAAGUAUGUUGGAGUAUCCCGCCUCCUGGGAGCCUUUGCGGGUGACGAAGCCCUCUACGGCGUUCGUUUAGUGCUUGUGUGCCGCAGGCACCUCCCUGGGCUCUUCGUGCCGCCCAAUCUAAUCGGAUGGUGAGCACCCAGACGGAUGGCUUUAGGGGUCCAUGAUGGGUGGACCGCGGGUGCGACCGGCGCCAGCAUCAUGUGCUGGUUUUGGUAGCGCAUGUCGGUGCCCUAUCGCUAGGAAAAAGAAUCUGUGGCAUCGUAAACACCGAAAUUUUAUCAGAUCUUUUGGCAUCCAUCUGAAAACAAUGUACAUUGGAUUAUUACUGGGCCAUAAAACUUGACACCAGUUUUUGUCAGUUUUUUGUACUGAACGCUAGACUGCUAGACUUGAUGAUACUGGUUGUCAAGACCAACAAUGAAGAGUUCGUGGCAAAGCAACACUAGAAGCUUCAACUAGAGAACAAGGCUUCAGAUGGUGCUCAGUUUAAUUUCACUACUCAAGGUGGACGCAAUUUUUUUGGACAAAAUAUAAAAUAUGUAUGAUGAUCUAGAUUUAUUUGAUCUUUUCAAAAUAUUUCAUUGAAAGUACUUCAUUCGGUCGAGUAAGAUGUAUACCCAAUAAGUGUAUCUCAUUUUGUCUCUCAUACAAAGCAUAUGUUUUAUUACUUGUAUUUGAUAUUUGUAUUAUCUAGAACCUUGGAAGAUUCAAACAAACUUAUCAAUAAUUAUGAUGUUAACUUGCAUUUGAUGUUUAAGAAACAUCAAAUGCAAGUUACCAUCAUAAUUAUUGAUAGCUUUGUUUGAAUCUUGCAAGGUUCUAGAUAAUACAAACAUCAAAUAAAAGUAACAAAACAUACGGUUUGUAUGAGACACAAAAUGAGAUACACUAAUUCGAUAUAUAUCUCACUGGACCAAACGAAGUAUUUUCAACGGAAUAUUUUAGAAAGAUCAAUUGAAUCAAGAUCACGGACAUAUUUUAUGUUAUGCCCCCACAAAAUUGCGUCCACCUUGAGUAGAAAUUAAACUGACCACCAUUUGAAGCCUUCUUCUCUAGCUGAAGCUUCUGGCGUUGUUUUGCCAAGAACUCCUCAUUGUUGGUCUUGACGACCGGUGUCAUCGAGCCUAGCAUUCUUGCGUUCAAUACAAAUAAAGUGACAAAAUUGAUGUCUGAUUUUAUGCCCCAAAAGUAUUCAACAUAUAUUGUUUUCAGAUGGAUGUCAAAAGAUCUGAUAAGAUCCCGAUGUUUACGACCCCAUAGACUAUUUUUCGUGCGGUGUGCAUCGCUCGCGCCAUCCGACCAUAUGUGUAUGCAUGGCUCGGCGAGGAGGCCAUCCACGCCGUUAGUUUCAAGCUGGCCUCCUGCGACUGGCUCCCUAGGGCUCUCUAUGUCAUUCGAUCUGCCCGGACGGCGCCCAUCGGGCGACCUGUCUCGGGGUCCUUGAUGGGUGGACUGUGGGAGCGGCCGAGGCGACCAUCAUGUGGUGAUUUGGGUCGUGCCCUUGUGCGCCACCCCACGUGGUGCUCCGCACGCGAGGGGGAGGCCGGCUCACCCUGUCAGCAUCUGCGGGUGAUAACGCAUGCAGCGAGCUAUUUCAGACGUGCGAGCCGGGUAGGCACGUGUGCCCAUGCCAGAUUGUGCAUGCAUGCACGACAUCUCGUGAUAGAUAGUUUUUCAGUUGAUGGGCAUCACAUGGUAGAUCGUUGCUGGGUACGCUGCCUAGAAGCCCCGAUGGUCUUUCGUUCGCGUGUGUCGGGUCACCCGCCGGGUGUGCCUGCACGGUCGGGCAUGUGAUGCAUACGCCUAUACGUCCGGGCGGCAGGUGGGACACCCUGUUGCACUUUCAUUCGUGUGUGUCAUCUGCUCCAGUGCGCCGGUUGCGCCCGUGUGUUGGGUCGCCCAUGUCCGGGUAUCUUAUUUGUGUUGUGUCGGUUUGGCCCGUUGUAUUAUGCAUUGAUAGAUUUGUGGGAGUGUGGGUAUUUUCAUACAUGGGGUGUGCGUUCUUACUCUCUCUCUCUCUCUCUCUCUCUCUCUCUCUCUCCUUUCCACUUGCACAGUUCUCUUUGAGUUGCAGCUAGGGUUUAUUCCAAUUUUCUUGGUGUAGGGGCUUUGUUUGCCAUCGACGUCUACCGAUGUGCCGUCCGUUUGACGUUUCAAGCAUUGUUCACCGUCGGAGUCCGCCGACGUGUUGUUCUUUCAUCGUUCCUACCAAGGUUCAUGUUCGCAUGCUUAUUUUUCUUCAUGUUAGCCGUUCUCAUCUAAUCACAUAUCACCAGAACUUUUCCUUUUUGCGGUGUCUGUACUUGUUUCUGUUACUUGGCUAUUGUUCGAGGUAAGUUCUUUCCUACGAUGCUCCUGCUGCCUUCUCUUUCUUUCUGCAGGGUUUGUUAUGUCUGGUUUGCUUUCUGCCUCUUCUCGUCACUUGUCAUCUUUUUUCUUUCCUUGUCUUGGUUUUAGGUCCUUUUAGCAGUUGGUGUUUGUCCAUUGUGCAUCUUCUUGUUUCGGCGUUCUUAUGUACUUUUGUUUUGGUUGGGUGUUGGCUAUUUGCAUGUAUUUCUUCUUGUUCUUGUUGUUCAUGUUUUUGACAAGCUCGUUCUAUAUGCACUGUGCCGGGGUUAUUGUUUAGUGCCCUUUUUUGCAUUGCUUGUUCUUUGCAUGAACGGAUGGUAUUAAAUAACUUUCAAGUUUGUGGUCAAGGCCCCUGCCUUCUCAGAAUCUUCAUUCAAGAGUGAUUGAAGAGGUUUUGAAGAAAUUAUCCAGGCCGAGGAAUACCAAACACGACUUCGUAAACGCCAUCAUGGCUCUUUUUGGAUGGCACGACAAGCCGACAGAGGAUUUAGGGCACGCAAGUGCGGGGGCAUGCACUUUGUGGGCCGUUGAUCUGCGCCAAGAUUCGCACAUAUGUUUGUGUAUAUACUCUUUUUGUGUUGUAUAACACUUCAUAUAUGUCUCUAAUGUUAUGUAUAAACCAUAUCUCUGUUUUUCCGUGAGCCAGAUAACUGUUCGUGUGGGGUAUAUACGGUAAGUCAAUCUGCACAUAUACAAGUCCCAAUGAGAGCGAUCCAUUCAGAGUACAGAUAGCUAACUCUUCUUCCUCUGUUCUUCUUCGUUGCUAUCUCUCUCUUUCUAGUUCACUCUCAUCUUACAGGAAAUAGAAAGUAAAAUUGGUUAUUACCUGAAUCUGCUGAAAUAGAUACGCCGUUGAUCUGCGCCAAGAUUCGUACAUAUGUUUGUGUAUAUACUCUUUUUGUGUUGUAUAACACUUCAUAUAUGUCUCUAAUGUUAUGUAUAAACCAUAUCUCUGUUUUUCCGUGAGCCAGAUAACUGUUCGUGUGGGGUAUAUACGGUAAGUCAAUCUGCACAUAUACAAGUCCCAAUGAGAGCGAUCCAUUCAGAGUACAGAUAGCUAGCUCUUCUUCCUCUAUUCUUCUUCGUUGCUAUCUCUCUCUUUCUAGUUCACUCUCAUCUUACAAGAAAUAGAAAGUAAAAUUGGUUAUUACCUGAAUCUUUUGAAAUAGAUACAAAUUAUCAGCAAUACAAGUGGAGUUCUAUCGGAAAGUUGGUCUUAAAGGUUAGUUAUAUUUGCAUAUUUCUUCUUGAUAACUUUUUGUUGUUGUACCACAGUUGAAAUCUAUAAUAUUUCAUCGAAUGUCCUCGUUGUUUUUGUGUUUUGCAAACUGAUGAUCCAAUUCGUUUGUUUGGUUUCUUCAAUCGAUGUAUUGGAUACAUUAACUAUGUUUUCUCUCAAAUACUAUCAUUUUAAAAACUUCGAUGGAAAUAGUACGGUUAGCAGCGAUACAAUGUAUAUAUGAAAUUUUUUUGGGUUCAGUUAUUGAGGAUGAAACUUAAUCUAUUUAACUUUUAUUUAUUAUAUUUGUUUUACUGCAUGAGUCCUAAAAUAUAUUGACUGUAUUAACUUGAAAUCCUA